rnacentral:lncRNA from 1 species
CUUGAAUGUUCUGAUUUUGUAACUUAAAAGGUACAGUGCACAAUUCCGGCCAAUUGGAACAACCUGCAUACACUGAUACACCUGCAGAAAACCAAAUAUGUGCCAGGCACAAAUGAGGCUUACAAAUAACAAAAAAAAGUGCAAAUCCAAUGCAACAACUUGUUCAAUGUGUUACUAAUACCAGCUCAGUAGUUCUUCUGAUCACAAAGUAGUGAUUUGUUCAAAAGACCAAAUCACUGGUACAUUAAAUUAGUGAUUUGUUCAAAUUAGAAUAUGUAGCCAUCCCAUCACAGUUGCCACUCCUGAAUAACAAGAUUAAACACUACUUCUAUAUUGAGCUUAGAUUGGAUAUCAUCAACUAAACAAUGUACUGCACAGCAUGUUGCAACGUGUU